GAUGAACGCUGGCGGUGUGCUUAACACAUGCAAGUCGAACGGAAAGGCCCUGCUUUCGUGGUGUGCUCGAGUGGCGAACGGGUGCGUAACACGUGAGUAACCUGCUCUUGACUUUGGGAUAACUUCAGGUAACUGGGGCUAAUACAGGACAGCAGCCCCUGCUGCAUGGUGGGGGUUGGAACGUCUCGGCGGUCGGGGAUGGACUCGCGGCUUAUCAGCUUGUUGGUGGGGUAGUGGCUUACCAAGGCUUUGACGGGUAGCCGGCCUGAGAGGGUGGCCGGCGACAUUGGGACUGAGGUACGGCGCAGACUCCUACGGGAGGCAGCAGUGGGGAAUAUUGCACAAUGGGCGGAAGCCUGAUGAGGCAGCGCCGCGUGCGGGAUGACGGCCUUCGGGUUGUAAACCGCUUUCGCCUGUGACGAAGCGUGAGUGACGGUAAUGGGUAAAGAAGCACCGGCUAACUACGUG
rnacentral:rRNA from 1 species